GACGAACGCUGGCGGCGUGCUUAACACAUGCAAGUCGAACGGAAAGGCCCUGCUUUUGUGGGGUGCUCGAGUGGCGAACGGGUGAGUAACACGUGAGUAACCUGCACCUGACUUUGGGGUAACUUCAGGAAACUGGGGCUCAUACCGGAUAGGAGCUCCUGCUGCAUGUUGGGGGUUGGAAAGUUUCGGCGGUUGGGGAUGGACUAGCGGCUUAUCCGCUUGUUGGUGGGGUAGUGACUUUACAAGGCUAUGAAGGGUAGCCUGCCUGAGAGGGGGACCGGCCACAUUGGGACUGAGAUGCGGCCCAGACUCCAACGGUAGGCAGCAGUGGAGAAUAUUGCACAAUGGGCGGAAGCCAGAUGCGGCAACGCCGCGUGCGGGAUGACGGCCUUCGAGUUGUAAACCGAUGUCGCCUGUGACGAAGAGUGAGUGACGGUAAUGGGUAAAGAAGCACCGGCUAACUACGUG
rnacentral:rRNA from 1 species